CUACGGGUGGCAGCAGUGGGGAAUAUUGCACAAUGGAGGAAACUCUGAUGCAGCAACGCCGCGUGGAGGAUGACACUUUUCGGAGCGUAAACUCCUUUUAUAUAGGAAGAAGAUGACGGUACUAUAUGAAUAAGCGCCGGCUAACUCCGUGCCAGCAGCCGCGGUAAUACGGAGGGCGCAAGCGUUACUCGGAAUCACUGGGCGUAAAGAGCGUGUAGGCGGAUUAAAAAGUCAGAAGUGAAAUCCUAUAGCUUAACUAUAGAACUGCUUCUGAAACUCUUAAUCUAGAAUAUGGGAGAGGUAGAUGGAAUUUCUGGUGUAGGGGUAAUAUCCGUAGAGAUCAGAAGGAAUACCGAUUGCGAAGGCGAUCUACUAGAACAUUAUUGACGCUGAGACGCGGAAGCGUGGGGAGCAAACAGGAUUAGAUACCCGUGUAGUC
rnacentral:rRNA from 1 species